rnacentral:rRNA from 1 species
GACGAACGCUGGCGGCGUGCUUAACACAUGCAAGUCGAACGGUGAAGCGCCUUCCUUUUUGGUUGGUGUGGAUGAGUGGCGAACGGGUGAGUAACACGUGAGUAACCUGCCCCCUUCUUCUGGAUAACCGCAUGAAAGUGUGGCUAAUACGGGAUAUUCUGGUUCUGUCGCAUGAUGGGUCUGUGACAGAUGUUGUUUCGGUGGGGGAUGGGCUGGCGGCCUAUCAGCUUGUUGGUGGGGUGAUGGCCUAGCAAGGCGGUGAGGGGUAGACGGCCUGGGAGGGUAGACGGCCAGAGUGGGAGUGAGACAAGGCCGGGACUGCGACGGGGGGCAGCAGUGGGGGGUAGUGAGCAGUGGGGGAAAGUGUGAUACGGGGAGGACGCGGGAGGAGUGGCGGCCUGCGGGUUGUGACGGUCUUUCGCCAGUGAAGCGGGCCUGCCUCGUUUGUAGGUGGAUUGACGGUAGCUGGAUAAGAAGCGCCGGCUAACUACGUG